AUGGCGCUUGUUCCCCGGUCGUCCCUGCGCUCCCUGGUGCUGCUCGUGUCCCACGGGAAGCCACGGCUGAGCUCUUUCUUCUCCUCCGCCGCCGCCACACCGGCCGCCCCAGGAGCUGAUAAUCUUCCGGCUGCUCCGGCCGUCCACCCCCCAGCUCCGACAGGCCGUUCAUGCCCCAAGCUCCCUGUGGAGGAAGAGUUUGCUCUUCACCCAAUUCCUGGGGGUCCACGUCCACAUCCACGACCACGUCCGCGCCCAUGUGGAGCCGCUAAAGAUGCAAGUGUAACCGACAAUGCUUUGCUGAACGCCCCUGAAGAUCCUUGUACAUACCCGGAUCCUGAUCGUGGUUCUGAUGGCAUCUUUGAAGAUCCCCGACACCCAGUUCCUGAUCCAUCAGGUAGGGGGCGUAGCGCCGUAACCGAUGAGCCUGCUCAGUGCACCCAGGAGCACCCUAAGUACCCAGUAACCGAUAGUUCAACUGACAAGGGCCCUGCUGUGGAACAUCCUGCAUACACAACUCCUGGUUAUGGUUCAUGUAGCACACCUGAGCCUAUGCCUGAUAAGCCUCCCUGCGGCACCUCCGAGGAUGUGAAACAACGAGAUGUUGAUCCACCGCCUCCCGCGCGUGAAGGUGUUGGACACCGAGUUGUCGAUCCACCACGCGGGGGCAGGGGGCGUCGCGCUGUGCCCGACGAGCCAGAGCAGUGCGCCCAGGAGCAUCCCAAGUACCCAGUUCCUGACAGUUCAAGUGACAAGGUCUUCUCCUCCUGCUCCUCCGCCGUUCCGCCGCUGGCUCCAGGAAGUUGCACCCCGGCUGCCCCCGACGUUCAGCCUCCAGUCACCCCAGCUCCGCCAAAUCGUUCAGGCCACAAGCUCCCUGAUCACGAAGAGUCUGUUUUCAACCCACUUCCUGAUCCACCAUCAGGUCACAGGCUUAGCCCUGUAAUCGAAGAGCCUGCCCGGUGCACCCUGGACAACCCCAAAUACCCAACUCCUGAUCAUGCUUCAUGUAGCCCAUCUGAAGGUGUAUCUGCGGACUUGUUGGAAGAUCCUCUGCAUCGGGUGCCUGAUCCACCACGUAGGCCCUAA
rnacentral:rRNA from 1 species